CUCUGAGGCAUGCUGGGGUAUCAAUAACCCAAUGUUUCCCCACACAAUCUUUUUUAAAAGCGCUCUGAAAACAAACAGAGGCUGGACCUCCAUCACCAGGACUGCAGCACCACGACUAUGGACACAGGGAAGCAGGGAUUUCGAGGAUGUCAAGACCUGGAUUAGCCGUACCAUGAGGGUGUCACAUGAAGAUUUUUAGCAACAGUCAACCAGCCGUCCCUCUCCUCACACUGUCCAUCUCUGGGAUAUGGAUCCUCCUAGUAUAGCUACAGUGGCCCCAAAAAUUAAUUUUCGAAGGUAUGCAGGAGCUCCUCAUUAAUGCGGCUUCCAUGAUGGCCUCUGUCAAGAUAGAGAGUCUUAGCAUGGUAGGGGGCCUGCAGGUGGAUUAAUUUGUUCUGCCAGGUUCCUCAGGCCCCAUGCUAAUGAAGAGAAGAAUACGGAUCAGAGCUCAUGCCAUGGAGAGCUGUCCAACUCCUAUGAUGCCCUGCUGGAAUUCCUGCCUGGAUUAACCAAUGACUUCCCUACUUCAAGCCCUUAUUAGGCAGUGUUGGUCUCCCCAUGCCAUGGGAGCAAUCCAGGGUGAGCGGGUCGGUGAACAGUUUGGGCUACAGAGUAAUGAAGCAUGCAGCGAAGAGCGGCCUAGCUCCCAACAGCACCCCUCCUUUCCUUGUCUGCUUUCCCAAAUUGGAUGUGUUUAUAAUACAACACGCUCCAGAGAACAAACACAGAAUGUGGAGGGCAUCGGGAUGUCUCUCCUCUCUCCUUUUUUCUCUUCGCCAUUGUUGAUGUGAGGGUGUCUGUCAAACACUGUUUCCAUCAGCGCAGUCGUGAGGAGGUGUAUGGCUUACAUCUGGCCAAGUGUGAAACUCGGUAUCAUCUACUGUUAAAUCGUGCCUUUUAUUUGUCAUCAAACCUUUGCUUGAAACCAAACACAAUGUGACGUUAAAUAGUUUGUAUAUUCUACUCAGAUGUUGCAUUUGUAGAGACAUACAGUAUUAAGUAAAAUAAUAAAAGAUUCACUGUAGGUUGAGUGGAGAAUUCAACCUUUUUUGGCAAGGUUUGUUCAGGUUGUAAAAUGUCACACGGUGUGACUUUUUGCAAUGUUGAAAUUAAUAAUUCAUUAUAUUGUAUUUGUCAAAAAAAAAUUUUUUUUAGGAAAUAAUGUGUACACAUUUAUUCAAGGUGUAAAGAA